UUGUUUUCUUUAGAAUUAAUUAUUUGUAAUUUACGAAAAUUUGUGCUGUUUCUUGAAGAGCAUGCAGAAAUAUACAAGAUUGUGAGCUUUUGAUGGUCGAUGCCAAGAAGGUGAAGUUUAUCAUCGCUGCAUGGUUGCAAAAUCCGCAAAAUUGAGUUCCGCUGCCGGGUGUCGGUGCCUAUAGGCAAGCAGCGCAACGAGAACGGCCAGAACAAUGUGUCGGUGAUGGGAUACGAACAUUGAAAGGGCAAGACGAUCGCGACCGGGAGGAACAUCACCGCGACUAGAGGAGGUUGGAGGUGAGCGUGAUGUUAUUGUCAUUCGUUCAACCACCCCUCCCACAUACUACCCAGAGCGGUGGUUCAACGUCCAACGUGCGUGAUAUGUGAUCCGUCGCCUAAACUCAAAGGCUUGAUAGAAAAGAAAAUUGUAGAAAACGACAAAAUAGGUUCGAUUUAACAAACAUACAGCUGAAUAAUAAGGAGGAGUAAGCGCCAAGUUGGUACACAAGUCGUCGAGGAUGACUACGAAGGAAAACAUGAAGGUGAACUGGAGUUGAGCCACUCAGACCAAGAGGACAAUCCAGAUUUCAAGGCCACUCGCGAUGAAAGCAGAAAAGGGUCGGUGUGUGUAUCAGAGAAUCAGUCAUAAAAAAGAAGAUGGGACGAAGACACCAGAAACUACAGUACUUCAAGCGGAUAUUUCUUCCGGUUUCAGUGGAAACUAAGGACGCUUUACAUAGAGUGUGGAUCGAACUGCUCGACUAAACGGUGUAGCUGCAAGAAGUUGUACGAAAUUAGAUAGAGAUUUUUUGAAACUACGGGAGGAAAAGAAAAAUUAGGUGACAUAGAAUGGCGUCCGUUAGCGCUCGCUGAAUAACCGCAAAUUGUAAUGUUCAUUACAAAGAAUUCUAUUUCUGAGAAGAUCUAUUAAUAAUAUAUUAUAUUGCAUUGAUGGUAGGGCGAUUUGAUUUUUACGCAAAUUAUUGUUUAUGUAACAAAAGAAUAUUUGUAUGCUUGUCCAAACAUUCAAUCAGCGCCCUUAAACAUUUUGAACCGAACAUAAGUGCAUGUUUGAAUGAAUGCAUUGAACGAUCAGGAUUAAAAUCAUAGAACAGUUACGAGAAUAUACAUAAUAGAGAAAAAAAACAAAAGAAACAUCUGCUUAAUUCGGCAUCAAUUGUUUUUUAUCUACCAAUAUCAUUAUAUAUACUUCUAGUUAUUAGUGUAAUAUUUUGAGUUGAGGAAAUAAAAUUAACAUUACAGUAUACAUA